GUUGGGGCGGUUGCCGUGUCGGCCCAGUGCGCAGGCGUGGGAAAGUUGAACUUCCGAAGUAAAAGUUUGUAGAAAUUGUGAGAAAGCGUGUACGCCAGUGCGACGGGGACACAACCGCGAGCCAGGUACCCCCAUGGCCGGCUCUGAAGAGUUGGGUCUCCGAGAGGACACACUGAAGGUUCUGACGGCCUUCCUUAAGCGCGGUGAAGUCGCUGGGUCCCCUGUCCCAACUCCACCCAGGAGUCCUGCCCAAGAGGAGACAACAGAUUUCCUGAGCCGCCUCCGAAGAUGCCUCCCUUGUCCCCUGGGGAGAGGAGCUCCCCCCACGGAGUCCUCUAGGCCCCACUUCCUUCCCCUCCGCCCCUGCUAUGGUUCCGAGCCUGGCCCAGCCUCUUCCGAGUUCUAUGCCCUGGUUGCCCAGCGGCUGGAACAAUUGGUGCAGGAGCAACUGAAGUCCCCGCCCAGUUCAGAGUUCCAGGGACCCCCACCCACGGAGAAGGAAGCCCUGCUAAGGCGGCUGGUAGCCUUGCUGGAGGAAGAGGCAGAAGUCAUCAACCAAAAGGUGACCAGCCUCUACUCCACGCUAUGGAGAGGACAGUUGUGGAAUAGGGGGCAGACGCUGGCGCUGCUUUGUUUUGAUGCUGGGUGUGGUUCCAGGGCUCCAGUAAACAUCAGAGCAUCUUCACAAGAGCCUUGAUGCCUCACCGCAGCAGGACUUAACACCAGUGUCCUUCAUGGGCCAUCAACAAGCAGUGGGACCUAGGCAACAGAAGCCACCAGAGGCUUCAUUAGGAAUUGGCUUGGUGACAGAGCCCUUGCCCAGCAGGCUGGGGUCCUUACCUUAACGUUGUCUCCAUCACCCUCUCCCCCAAGUUAAACACUGAAAAACAAAGGACAGCAAACAAAAGAAGAGGCCAGAACCAAGAGCCAGCUGGCAUCUGACCCGGCUCUGCAUCGUAAACUGGCCCGCCUGUCCGCAGGCUCUUUCGCCCGCCUUGUGGAACUCUUCUCUAGCCGGGAAAGCAGCUCCUCCCCAAAUUGCUCCAGCCCGUCUCUGCCGUGCCCGGGGCCCCCACCGCCAUCCCCGGAUCCUCUGGCACGCCUGGCACUAGCCAUGGAAUUGAGCCGGCGUGUGGCUGGGCUUGGGGGUCCCCUGGCCAACCUCAGUGUUGAGCAUGUACACAGCUUCCUGCCUUGGGUCCAGGCCCAUGGGGGAUGGGCAGGCAUCCUGGCCUCCUCACCUGUGGACUUGAACUUGCCCUUGGACUGAACGUUUCCUCUGACCCAGCAUAGAUGACUGAAAUAUGACGACACACACAUCAGGGCUGUAGGGUGGUGGUUGCCCUACCUUUUUUAUGUUUUUAUUUUUUGUUUGUUUGUUUUUUGUUUUUUUUUUUGCCAAAAAGACUGUUUAAAAUGUGUCUGUAUUAAAAACUUUGUUCUUUAACUAGA